rnacentral:lncRNA from 1 species
AUCAACAGAUAAUGGAAGGCCACUGAAGGCUUUCUGAACAGGAGUAGAAUCUUUUUAUAUUUUAAAACUAGUAGACUACAGUAAGUGAGGAAGAUGGAGGGAUGAAAGACGACAACUUUUGUUCAUUUGUUUGUUUGUUUUGCCUGGGUGACUAUCUGCAUGAUGGUAUCUGCUAGAGAUAGGGAAGUCAGAAGAAAGGGCCAAAUCACUGGAGAAAGAAAAUGCUUUACUUGGACAGUCUGGAUGGGAAGUUCCAGUGAGUCAUCCUGGUGGCAAUGACUGGCAGAUUGUUGGAAAUGGAGGAGCUAAAGCGAGAGAGGCUAAGAAUAGAGAUAUGGAUUUGGGAGUUAGUGGCAAAUAGAGUUAAACUAUGGGAAUGUAUAUGAUGGCCUGAGAAGAAAUUAUAGGAGAAGUAAGAAGGACUAAGGGCUGAGCCUGGGAGACAGGACAUGGAGGGGAAAGGCAGCUGAGAGGAGCCUUGAAGAAGACUGAAGAGGAAUAAUUGCUACUGAGGAGAAGCAAGGCAGUUCAGUGUGAUGGAUGCCAAAAGAUGGAGAAGUCAAGGAGGUGGCCACCUGCUGGAGAGUGCAUGUCUCCACUGCCUUCCUCAACCUCUGCAUGUGGAGUCUGCACUUGACAAGAUCAAUGCAGCAUUCCUGCCUGCUGAGUUUCCUGGAUUUGCUGAGCUAAACAAGUUCAUUCGCACCCAGUUCCACCUGGGAUGAAGAUCCAUCUACAGGGCUGGAACUGACAGGGAAAACUUUUCAUCCCAUCUGAGGUCACCUUCACUUACAGGAUGCUGGCUGCUGAUAAGUAUCCUAUCAGGAGAAGAAGAGAAAAAUAAUUUGACACUUAUAGCCUGUCUUGAAAGAUGAGAUUCACUUAUCAGCAAACCAGAUGAAGAGAAUCACUGAGCACAGAAAUGAGAUCUGAGCACACUAGAGCUCAACUAAUGUAUCCCUGCCCACACAGGGUUAGUCUCUACAAAUUGCCUAUUUCAGUUAUUUAGCCCCAUUUUUUUCCCAGAGAUGGUGUGUUUCGUAUAAUCAAUAGCUACAAAAUAAAAGCAGCAUCUGCCUUGCCUUCUUUUCCCGUUAUUUGGCUGUGGCCUCCUAACAAUGAGACAAACAGAGAAGAGAGAAGUAAACAAGAAAUCAAAGAGAUCUAGGGGAGAUAGCUAAUGUGGGGGUGAGGAGAGAAGCAAAUACCGGGUUCACAACAGGUUGAAUCAUUGCCAAGGAACCCAGAUUGACAAGUAUGAUAUACUGUUGAGAUUCUCAGUGGCAACCGUUGCCAGUUUUGCAAAAGAGCAGUGUUAUUGGAGCCGGAUUUGGAAAGCAGAUUUUGUGAAAAGUCUAGGAUACUGCUGUCUCCCAGGACUUGGUUCUAAUUUUGUCUUUGGGCUGUCCUCAAUGCUCCCACCUCUCACGCAUGUGUUCUAUUUGGGGGCUUAUUGUGGAGGAAGCCAGCUAAUGCUACAUCCAGAAAGAGGGAGAAAAAAAGUCCAAAUAUAUAUUUUUCUUUAUUGAAAUAGAAAAACAAACUCAAAAUUAUCUGCAUUUUAUGUUUCCAGCCAUCCUUAGUCACAGACAGAGCUCAGCAAUAUGCUCACCUUGGCCCACUGAGAGCAGAUAUUUCACAGACAAUUUUUUGCUCACCUGUAAAAGUUCGUCUCUCCCCAGCUGAGUAUUGGUUCCCCACCCUUCUCCUUCUUCAGACUCUACUCUAAUCCCCAUGCAUUCCCAGGCUUCCUGGGGCUGAUGUGGGAAGACAAAGGAGGAACCCAGGACCCUAAGAAAAGGCAGCCUUCUGAUACCCACUGCUAUGGGAUCAUUAUAGGAGGGCCAGUACUUGGUGGGUAGUUGUGAGAUGCAGCAUAACUGUGUUCUCUGCAGGCAGGGCUUCUCCCUCAGGCUUGAGUUGUAUUUUCCAUGAACUUGUGCUGGGCCUUCCAGUGCCCAGCUCUUAGUCUUAGAAACUCCUUUGCUGCUAAGACCUUUCAGAGUGAGGCCUGAGGUAAGAGCAAAGCUGAAGGAGAUCAGGUGGCAGGCCUGCUCCAGUCCUGGUCUGGUCCUGGGGAUGAGCAUGUUGUGCAGGAUGGUAGGUUGGUUCUCCCCAUCUCGAGCCUUUGGGUGCUCUGGUUUGUUUGGCAUAUGGGUAUGCACUGGGUUGGUCCCUAGGAUCCUCUGCCUGCCUUUUAGAAUGUAUGAAGUGGUCCUGGUUCCACCCUAAUGUGAAAGAAGAUCUUGCCAUCGUAUAGGCAAGAGCAGUGGGUCCCAACACAAGGCCUAAUGAUGGCCAUCAUAAGAUGAUCAGACCAUCUUUUUGUUAUUUGAGUUACAAUAACAAAGUAGAUCGAAGAUAGGUCCACUCUGUAGAACUAAAGUCAUAUGCAUUGCUUUUCUCUACUUGCCGAAUUGCUGUCUAGCACCCCCUUUUCUCUCUGAACUCCUCAUCUUUUCAAGGGCAUAAGGACUCCUAUUCUGAUUAGGACAAAAUGCAGGAAUUUGUUUUGAAUUUUCUCUUCAUUUCGGGUGCUGUGAGCACUUGGGCUUGGAGUUGGAGUGGUAGCUGGGUAUUAGGCCUUGACUGGGCUUUCCUCAUUUUCAGCAGAGCCCAGCUGGCUUUGGCCCGGUUUGGAGAUUCUCCAACCAAGUCCCACCCUCAGAGAGGUUGCCAUACUCUCGCCAUUAGAGAAGCCAGCGGGGAGUUACAGCCACAGCAGCUUUUGCAGAAUCCCUAGGAGACCUACAGGGACAAAGCAGAGUAAAGGAAAAGGUCCUGGAGAGGUGAGAUUUUCUCCAUUUUCAACAAGAGUUUUAGACGACAUUUUCCAAAAGUUGCUACAGCUCAUACAACUGCUUUGCAAAUUCAACAUUUGAGUUUGGCCCACUGAAAAAAAAGUUCACUUACUACUACUACUUUCUGUCUAUGUUGUGUUUCAGGCUUAGAGCCAGGCUUAGAGUUGUGAUGAAAAGGAAAGCUCUGACUAAAAUAAUAUUUCUUGUCAUAGUAGUUAUUUUGUUUCAUAAGUAUUGACAUGUAGGUUGUUACUGCAUUUUACAGAUGAGGAAACUGAGCCUUAGGACUCAGAAAUAUUGUGAGGAACACAGUAAGAACAAGACACGUUAGGCGUUAUUAUCCUAGGUUUAACCUGUUGCUAUUUGAGAAUGGCAUAGAGAGAAACAAAAGCUAUUACUUAGAGAAAGCUGGCUACUCUCUUAGACCAGCUUUGAAGGAUAAGGACCCUGGUUAGGCCAUCACAGUCUAGGUCCAUAGUUCUCAGUCUUUGGCUUACAUCAGAAUCAGCUGUGGAGCUUUAAAAAAUAGAGAUUCCUAGGUCUUAUCCCAUACCUCCCAAAUUAGAAUCUCCAGGGACAGGUCUUGGAAGUCAACAUUAAAAAAAAAUAAUGAAAAAACAAAAUAUCCUUGGUUGAGUGAUACUGUUGGGCAGCAAGUUUGGAAACGAUCUAAGGUUUUACCUCUAAUUUUGGUCCAGAAAAUUCCUUGCCAGAGGUAAUAAGUCUUCUGGAGAUGGACUCACAUUAACACAAUUAUGACAUGUGACUGAUACAUGGAUUAGAGUGACAACUGACAGUGAGAACUACCUUGUUGUUAGCCUAACAAGACCAUCGGGCUCUUGUUGGUAGAAGGUUAUGCUUUUCCCCGAGGCUGCAUGUAGCCAGGUGAGCAGAGACCAAAGGUGGAGAAAGUGGAUGAUCAUGAGAGGCAGGACCAUCAAACAUGGUGACCCUGAGGCAUUCAUCUUCCUCAGAAGGUUCCUGCUGUACAAACAGAAUACUCGUGUUCAUGGGCUCAGAUGCAUCACCAGAUUUUAUCUUUGACCAUCCUGUUUACAGGUGCCUUAUCCCCCAUCCCCAUUCUGAAAAUAAUUAUUUUUAUUAGAUACAAAAUACCGUAUAGUUGAUUAGAUUUGCUCUUUUCUAGUUAAAGAUCACAGCCUAAAUGCUCAUAGUUAGCAAGAGUUUUAGAUAAACAGGCACUCAUACUUGACUUGUUACUGGGAAAUUAGCACAAUCUUUUGAUAUGAAGUAUUGGUAGCUACAGGGAUAAUUUUUGGCACUAUUAACAAUACUGAAAAGUUGGAAGCAACCUUUAUGUCCAAGAAUAGAAGUAGAUAAAUUCAUUAUUGUAUAUGCACACACAAAACGGGCUGAUAUAUAGUCAUGGUUUAGAAUAAAAUGUAAUUAAAUGGAAAAUACUCACGAUAUAUUGUUAUGUGAUAAAGCACAUACAAAUUUUUGUAUGUGUGAAAAGAGGUACACCAAAAUGUUAAUGGUAAUUUUGCCUGGAUGGUUUAAUUAUGAGUGAUUUUUUCUGUUUUUAUUUAUCUACAUAUCUACUUUAAUUUUAUCAUAAUAAUUAUAUAUAAAUUUUAUCAUAAGAAAAAGCCAAAUAAGCAUUAUUAUAAAAGUCAUAAUUCAGAUUUUUCUUCCUGACAUUAUAUGUGAGUCAUCAUGACUAUUAAUAUAUUUUGGGUGACCCUCAAAUGUAGUUUUGAGUUUGUGUUAUUUCUAUGAAUGAAUGAUGGUUGUCAUCCCUUACCCCUUUAUCUAGAGUAACUUCAUUCACAGAAGCCAUCUGAAUUCAGUUUUGGAGUCUGUUCAACUUCUGGUGGUGCAUAUACAAUUUAACCACAGCGAUGGGGACAUUCACUCAACAAACAUUUAUUGCAGACUUUCUCUUAUAGACUUUAAGGGUGUAUGUUUGAACAAUAUAUAUUACUGCUGUAAAGGAGUCAGGUGGGGAUAUAAAGAAAUGUAAAACAAAUAAUAAAUAAUUUAUUAGAGAUAGGACUAUGAGAUCCUAGAAGAGGGAGUGACUAAUUUUGACUGGGAAAAUAAGUCUUAAUAGAAGAGGCAACUUUUAAGCUGAAUCUUAAAUGAGUAGAAGUUUUCCAGGUGAGGGAAGGCGGGAGAGCAUUUCUAGGAAGAGCAAACAACUCAUGCAAAGACACAGAGUAGUGAAAAGGCAUUGUGUGGAAUGUUGAGAAGUUCGGUGGGGCUGGAGCUUGGGGUAUUACAGAGAAAGGAAAGGAGAUGAGACUAGAAUGAGAAAUUAAUACCAGAUAGUAAAGUGUUUUGUAUGCCAUGUGACAGGAUUUUAAUUUGAUCUUUUGAGCAAUGGAAAUUGGCAGUGGUUUAUAAACAGGAAAAAGACAUGACAGAACUAUUUUUAAGGACAUAACCCUGGGGAGGAUGUGGAAAAUGGAAUAGAUUAGGGUAGAGGCCUGAGGCACAGCAGAUAGUUGGGAAGCUAUUGUAGCAUUAAAGAUGAGAGAUAAUAAGGGCCUGGCCUGAGUCAGUGACCCUGGAAAUGGAGAAAAAAGCCUUGAUCUGAGAGGCCUCUAGUCAAUAGGGAGAAGAUUUCCCCAUUCCCCUCUUAUGUAUUGUAGUUCUUAAUAUACUUUCCAUACGCUUUUAGAGAUGUGAACCUCCGUAUUGAAUAUUUACUCUGCCAACCCAAAUUUGAAUCAAUGCAUGAGCACCUGUGUUUGACAAAGCCCAGUGGAUCCAAAUCCAGUAUGCAUUGAGUAUGUCCCAAAAAAUGAGUAAUGGCUGCAGUAUACAAAACAAAACCACCCCCGACUCACAUGUGUUUCUGUGAUUCCUUAAGAUGCCGGAAGAAGAUGAAAACAGUUACCAGUGUUGGCUUUUAAGAAAAUGUCAGAUCCAAAACAUUCAACCAUAUUUUCCCUCUGACUCAACAUGCCUGUAGUUUUUAGUGAGACACCUUUAGAAAUCAUAUAAUCCUUUUGGUUGAGAAUUUGUCAUUGAAUAAUAAAAAGAAUACAAGAUCUGAAUCCAGACAGACCCGAAUCUGUAAUAAUUGUGUGACUUUGGGUAAGUUACUUAAUUUCUUGUUUUACUUAUUUGUGAAAUGGAGGUAUUCAUAUCUAUUUUGCAAGGCUAAUAUGAGAAUUACAGAUCAUAUAUGUUAAGCAUCUUGUACAUUCUUGGUCCACAAAAAAUAGUUAGGGCUGGGUGCGGUGGCUCAUGCCUGUAAUUCCAGCACCACUCUGGGA